rnacentral:rRNA from 1 species
UUCGGGACCGAACGUAUACGAAGGUGCUGCAGUGUUGUCGUCAGCUCGUGCCGUGAGAUGUUGGGUUAAGUCCCGUAACGAGCGCAACCCUUGUCCUUAGUUACCAGCACGUUAUGGUGGGCACUCUAAGGAGACUGCCGGUGACAAACCGGAGGAAGGUGGGGAUGACGUCAAGUCAUCAUGGCCCUUACGGCCUGGGCUACACACGUGCUACAAUGGUCGGUACAAAGGGUUGCCAAGCCGCGAGGUGGAGCUAAUCCCAUAAAACCGAUCGUAGUCCGGAUCGCAGUCUGCAACUCGACUGCGUGAAGUCGGAAUCGCUAGUAAUCGUGAAUCAGAAUGUCACGGUGAAUACGUUCCCGGGCCUU